rnacentral:rRNA from 1 species
UACGAAGGGGGCUAGCGUUACUCGGAAUUAUUGGGCGUAAAGGGCGCGUAGGCGAUUUGAAAAGUCUUGUGUGAAAGCCCCGAGCUUAACUCGGGAAGUGCACAAGAAACUGUUGAAUUUGAGUUCCGGAGAGGAAGGCAGAAUUCCCGGUGUAGCGGUGAAAUGCGUAGAUAUCGGGAGGAAUACCAGUGGCGAAGGCGGCCUUCUGGACGGAUACUGACGCUGAGGCGCGAAAGCCAGGGGAGCAAACGGG